rnacentral:rRNA from 1 species
CCUACGGGAGGCAGCAGUGAGGAAUAUUGGUCAAUGGCCGUAAGGCUGAACCAGCCAAGUCGCGUGAGGGAAGAAGGAUCUAUGGUUUGUAACCUUCUUUUAUAGGGGAAUAAAGGUAUCCACGUGUGGAUAUUUGCAUGUACCCUAUGUGUAAGCAUCGGCUAACUCCGUGCCAGCAGCCGCGGUAAUACGGAGGAUGCGGUCGUUAUCCGGAUUUAUUUGGCUUAAAGGGCGCUGAGGUUGUUUGUUAAGUCAGCGGUGAAAUGUUGUGGCUCAACCAUAAAAUUGCCGUUGAAACUGGAAGACUUGAGUGUGUUAGAGGUAGGUGGAAUGCGUGGUGUAGCGGUGAAAUGCAUAGAUAUCACGCAGAACUCCGAUUGCGAAGGCAGCUUACUAAGACAUAACUGACACUGAAGAACGAAAGCGUGGGGAUCAAACAGGAUUAGAUACCCCUGUAGUC